ensembl:lncRNA
UUGAAUUGUUGGGAGAGAUGUCUCUCUGAAGAGGACUCUCUCUGCAACAACCAAGAGAAUCUGCCCUGGGUCUUGGAUUUCCAAAACGAAUGUCUUGCCAACUCGUGACAACGGCCAUGGGAGGUUGGCAAGACAGCACAAACAGAUCUUGGACCAGGUUAAGUUCCUUCAAUCCCAUAGUUCCAAAAUACAUUCAGACCUGAUAAAUAGUGAAAUGGACUGUGAUUGGCUUGAACACCUGUACAUCCAGCCAAUCAUCUUUAGGAGUACCAGAUUAGAACCGGUCCAGCUCUUUAGUUACAACCCAUCUCAUGACACUUUAUAUUGUGCACACAUGCACAAGCAUGAUUUAGCGGCCGUGUGUGUUGCUGUUAUUUGAGGAAUAAAAUAAAUGAAAUGUUGGUGUGGGACAGGGUUUGGGUUAGAGUGAAGGAUUGUGAAGGAAUUAGCUAGAGAAGGAUGGGACAAGGAUGUCUGCAUGUCUUGAGGAGCUGUAGGUGGAGGCUAUAAGGAUGUCUGCAAGUCUUGAGGAGCUGUAGGUGGAGGCUAUAAGGAUGUCUGCAUGUCUUGAGGAGAUGUAGGUGGAGGCUAUAAGGAUGUCUGCAUGUCUUGAGGAGAUGUAGGUGGAGGCUAUAAGGAUGUCUGCAUGUCUUGAGGAG